rnacentral:tRNA from 1 species
UGUGGCUCAGUGGUAGAGCACUUGCCUGGCAUGUAUGAGGCCCUGGGUUCGAUCCUCAGCA